CAGAAGCAAUGAGGGCUCAUUAUAGGAAAACCAGAGAAUGAGGUCAACCCAGUCAUAUAUAUAAAUAAACUUCAUGGAGAGCGGCGCACCCACUCACCCUCCAGACAUCUGGCUGUUGGAAAGCUCACCACCCAGGAGCCGAGAGGAGAGGACUGCAGUGAACGACAUCUACCAGCCACGGCAGGGGGAGAGGUCACACAGACCCGGGAAAUAAGAGCCAAGGACACGUGCCCAGGUCACCCAGAGUGUAAAGGGUGGAGUUGGCCCUAGGCCUUGGAUCUGUCUGACUGGAGUCUGUGUUCUUGACCAUCACCCAGGACUUCCUUCCCAGGAGCAGCCAACAGCAUCCUGUGAAAGGCUCCUCCCUCUUCUUCUAGGGCCUCAGCGAACCUCUGCAGCCCUCAGCCGCCCAGCUCUGUCUGGUCCUUGGGACCAUAUCCUUUGCUUCUGUUUUGGCUCUUGCCUCAGUUGUCUCACUAAAUCCUGAACCUGGCUUCAUGUACAUCGAGGGAAGAUCCCAGAAGCUCCAGCCUGGCAGAACCUGCCCUCCUGUCUGCUGAAAGGAGACCGAGGGCCACUGGGAAGACAGGAAUUCUUGUCUGUGUCACAGCCGGAGUGCCGCCUACGCCGGAGGUGUUGACGUGACGAG